GGACUUGGUGGGGAGAUUCCAUUAUCUAGAAGGUGAUAUUCUCAAGGUAAGUCUCCUCCAUUGCUUUCAGGGUGUGAUUUCCCCAAUUGUGGAAACUUGAUUUCAUGAUUUGUGGUAGUGGUGGACUCCAUUC
rnacentral:snRNA from 1 species